AAGAAUAAGGGGGAAGUGCAAAAUAGAAAGAAAAAAAAUUAAGUUUCAUUUUUACUAGCCCUAAGGUCAGAGAAGACCUGAUGCCGAAGCUCUCUCCUUCUGGCGAUUUCAUCAUACAAUCCAUUCGCAACAGCCCUUUCAAAGCUUGCCACUUCGAUCGUCUAGACAAUCUUCUGAUUUGAAUUCUCCCUUCUUCCAGAGCUCCCAUUGUGGACAGUGACCGAUUUGUGGUAGUAGCCCACCAACAAAGACAAACCCCCCUUCCCCGAAGCCCCAUUCAUGGUGUCAAACGCUCUCUCCGCCCAACUAACCCCUCACAAAUCUCUCUAUUCAGAGCAAGUGGUUUAAAUCUUGCAGGUCACGGGUAGCCGGGUAGGCUUCAACAACAUGUAUCAUGAAGUUUUUUCUUUCACAUCCCUGUACUGUUAGAAUUCAGUUAAUAUUUUUAUUAUAUUGCGAUUUAUUUUUUGGUUAGCAGAUUUAAGGUUGAGAAAUAAAUAUGGUCUUUAUUGGUGGGGAAUCCAAUUCUUUCUGCUAUUUACUAGGUUGUUGAGUAUUUGCAUCUAAACCAUGAGUCACGCAAUAGCAAACAUGGUGACAUAUAUCACUCCAAUUCAUAUUUUAAUUGAUAACUGAACUGAUGAUGUUUGUCUAUCAAAAGAGGAAAUAUACAUUGUUUGAGACAAGUCAGUAAUGUAAUAAAAGAAGCUAUUCACAUAUACAAGGAGUAGAAUAAUAUUCAUCAAUUGUAAUUGUUGUCUAGAAACUAAUUUUAUUAGUAAUCUUAUCAAAUCUACUAAUCUUCCAUGUCUACUAAUUUUAUAGAAGCAUUGGGUUGUGCUUUGAGGGCAUAUCUACUUAUAUUCAUUGAUUUCAGAUCUAUUCCAUGGAUAUACAUACAUGGUAUGCGCUCUUGUCAACCCUUAUUGGUAGUGUAAUGAGUGCACAUGCUCAAUUACGGGAGCUUAUCAAGAAUCCAAGCAACUAGUGGAGAGCCAUACAACUGAUGGAGAUGUUUUCAAUUCAUUGUCAGUAGAGAAUGAGCAGAGAAGGAAAGGUAGUGUGUGUGAUUGGAGCUUCAGGUUACAUAACUUCAUGGCUAGUGAAGCUCUUAUUACAACAUGGUUACACUGUGAAAGCAUCUGUUCAUGACCCAAUUGAUUCAAAGAAAACACAACACUAGAUGGCGAGUGAUGUUGCACACUAAGUUCAUGAUGCCAAGUUUCUACAAGAACUCGUGUUUUUUAGAUCUUUUGUGAAGUUGUACUAUUUUUUUUUCAUACCUGUACACACUUUUAUUUUAGGGGAUACAUUUAUUAUCUUUUACAUAUAUGAGUAAGUAUUCUAUGUUUACACAUAAUUUGUUUUUUAAUACAAGUGACUGAGGUUAAGGAUUA